rnacentral:rRNA from 1 species
AGAGUUUGAUCAUGGCUCAGAUUGAACGCUGGCGGCAGGCUUAACACAUGCAAGUCGAGCGGAUGAAGGGAGCUUGCUCCUGGAUUCAGCGGCGGACGGGUGAGUAAUGCUUAGGAAUCUGCCUAUUAGUGGGGGACAACAGUUGGAAACGACUGCUAAUACCGCAUACGCCCUACGGGGGAAAGGAGGGGAUCUUCGGACCUUUCGCUAAUAGAUGAGCCUAAGUCAGAUUAGCUAGUUGGUGGGGUAAAGGCCUACCAAGGCGACGAUCUGUAGCGGGUCUGAGAGGAUGAUCCGCCACACUGGGACUGAGACACGGCCCAGACUCCUACGGGAGGCAGCAGUGGGGAAUAUUGGACAAUGGGGGCAACCCUGAUCCAGCCAUGCCGCGUGUGUGAAGAAGGCCUUUUGGUUGUAAAGCACUUUAAGCGAGGAGGAGGCGCCCUAGAUUAAUACUCUAGGAGCGUGGACGUUACUCGCAGAAUAAGCACCGGCUAACUCUGUGCCAGCAGCCGCGGUAAUACAGAGGGUGCGAGCGUUAAUCGGAUUUACUGGGCGUAAAGCGUACGUAGGCGGCUUUUUAAGUCGGAUGUGAAAUCCCUGAGCUUAACUUAGGAAUUGCAUUCGAUACUGGGAAGCUAGAGUAUGGGAGAGGAUGGUAGAAUUCCAGGUGUAGCGGUGAAAUGCGUAGAGAUCUGGAGGAAUACCGAUGGCGAAGGCAGCCAUCUGGCCUAAUACUGACGCUGAGGUACGAAAGCAUGGGGAGCAAACAGGAUUAGAUACCCUGGUAGUCCAUGCCGUAAACGAUGUCUACUAGCCGUUGGGGCCUUUGAGGCUUUAGUGGCGCAGCUAACGCGAUAAGUAGACCGCCUGGGGAGUACGGUCGCAAGACUAAAACUCAAAUGAAUUGACGGGGGCCCGCACAAGCGGUGGAGCAUGUGGUUUAA